rnacentral:rRNA from 1 species
GCUUGCUUAUUUUGUUAGUGGCGCACGGGUGAGUAAUAUAUAGCUAACCUGCCCUUUAGUGGGGGACAACAGUUGGAAACGACUGCUAAUACCCCAUACUCCUUCUGAUCUUAAGAUCAGUUGGGAAAGAUUUAUCGCUAAAGGAUGGGGCUUUAUUGUAUCAGCUAGUUGGUGGGGUAAUGGCCCACCAAGGCAAUGACGCAUACCUGGUCUGAGAGGAUGAUCAGGCACACUGGAACUGAGACACGGUCCAGACUCCUACGGGAGGCAGCAGUGGGGAAUAUUGCACAAUGGAGGAAACUCUGAUGCAGCAACGCCGCGUGGAGGAUGACGCAUUUCGGUGUGUAAACUCCUUUUAUAGGGGAAGAUAAUGACGGUACCCUAUGAAUAAGCACCGGCUAACUCCGUGCCAGCAGCCGCGGUAAU